rnacentral:rRNA from 1 species
GCUUACACAUGCAGUCGAGCGCCCCGCAAGGGGAGCGGCAGAMGGGUGAGUAACGCGUGGGAAUUACCCAUCACUACGGAACAACUCCGGGAAACUGGAGCUAAUACCGUAUACGUCCUUCGGGAGAAAGAUUUAUCGGUGAUGGAUGAGCCCGCGUUGGAUUAGCUAGUUGGKGGGGCAUGGGAUCSYSGCUUGGKAGGCCAUUACCCCMCCAACUAGMUGAUCCCCACCCSGGGUCAUCCAUCACCGAUAAAAUCUUCUCCCGAAGGGAGUAUARCGGAUUAWCUCCCRUUUCCCCGAGUUGUUCCCRAGGGUGGGAAGAUUCCAAGAGUUUCCUCCCCGUCUGMGCGUCUCCUUUGGGGGGGUCCAAUUGAUA